UCCUAAUAAUGGUUGGUUUUGGUUUUGUGGACCAAAAGCACUUCCACAGAUACAUAUUCUCAAAUGUUCUUAUCCACAGAUAAAGAACUAGGCAAAUGCUGUGGUGUUUGGAUUAAAAAAGUCAACAAACCACCCAACCUCACUUGAUCAAUUUUAUUUGAGCUAUUAGCAGAGAAUAUGUGGCACUAGAGACUACUUAAAUCCAGUAAUAACUGAAUGUUAAGCAAACAGAUCAUCAAUUAUUAAAAUGUAGCUGCUAUUAACGUAAUCCUUUACAUUUCACUAACAUCAGCCUUCGGAGGGGCAUGUAAAGCCAGUUAAAAGCAUCUGAUAUGCAAAAUAAGAAUGCAACCAUGUUCCCUUUGCUAAAAUUCUUGGAGGAUCUCUCUCUAAAUUUUCCACUUAGGAGUGGGUGUUGUGAUUGGGAGACAGAGGAGUAAAAUCCAGUCCAAUGUAGAAAUUUCUGAUCAAGAAGCUAGCAAAAGCAGUAUUUUGAGGGCUUAGGGCUCUUGAAAAACCAAAAUUUACCUUUAAUACAGGAUCUAGAUAACUUUCUUUAUUUGCCAAACUCAGGACAACUUCGUUUUGUGAACACAUUUUCUUUUACCUAGUUUUUGGAAUAUAGAUAGUACAUCCACAUGGUUAAAAAAACUAAAAAAAAAAAAAAACAUUACAGUGAAAACUCUUUCUGCCGUCUGUCUCUACCCACACUGCCAGAGUUUUAUGUAUCUGUCCAGAGUUCCUAUGCAUAUAUCAAUAAAUACUAAUUUCAACAUUAUUUCACACAUUUUUGUACCUUGGGUUUUUUGUUUUUGUUUGUUUGGUGAGGAAGAUUGGCCCUGAGCUAACAUCUGUUGCCAAUCUUCCUCUUUUUGCUUGAGGAAGAUUCACCCUGAGCUAACAUCUGUGCCAGUCUUCCUCUGCUUUGUAUGUGGGAUGCCACCACAGCAUGGCUUGAUGAGCGAUGUGUAGGUUGGAAAUGGGAUCUGAACCUGUGAACCCUGGGCCAGCAAAGCAGAGUGUGUGAACUUAACCACCACGCCACCAGGCUGGCCCCUUGUUCUUGUUUCUUAUUUACUAGUAUACCCUGGAGAUCCAUCAUACCGUAUCAGCACACAGAGAGCAUUCUCAUUCUUUAUUUCCAAACACAGAGUACCCUAUUAUCUAUUUAUAUAUACAUCUCCUACUUUAUUUAACCAGUCGACUCCAGAAGGACGUUGGGUUGUUUCCAGCUCUUUGGUCGGCUAAACACGCUGCAACGAAUAACCUUAUAUAUGCAUGAUUUUACGUACAUUUAGGAUACAUUUCCGGAAGUGGAAUUGCUGGGUCAAAUUGUAUAUGUGUUUGUGAUUCUGAUAGAUAUUGCCAGAUUGUCCUCCAUGGGGGUGAUGGCCAUUUGUGCUCCCACGGGUAACGAGUGAGAGUGUCUGUGUCCCCAGGGCUGGUUCGUGUUCUGAAGAACCCUCGAGUGGAGACUAUCCCAUUCAACAUCAACUUGGUAGGAGAGACUAGCCUCUUUUACUCCUUAUUUCCCUAUCACUCUGCGACCUUUCACUUCUUGCCUCCAGCUGGCUGCAAGAUUGCAGCCAAGUUAUUUAAGCACUUGUGCCUUGGUUUCUCCAUCUGUAAAAUGGGGCUAUAAGAGUACCUACAGCCUAUGGUAGUUGGGAGAGUUCCAUGAGCUAAUGCACACAAAGCGUGGAACACGGUUCAGACAAAGUAACUGCUUAGAAAUGCUGUCUGUUAUUACGUGGGUCAAAUAAAUAAUGCCACUUAGAGAUUGCGCCAUCUCUGUCUCUAUUAGGCCACUGUGUGCUAACAUCUAUGUUAUAAAACUACAAGGGCACCGAACAUUUUCUUGGAGGAAGACGAAUCUUGGUUCCAGGCUCUUAUUCUCACAUGGACUUCAGGACUGGUCCCUCCUAAGGAAUGUGAAAAAGAAGCGUUCGGAUUCCAGGCUGCUCAUAAAUCUGCCUUCUGUGUUAUCAUUUUUUACCUGCCUACUUCUGUUUCUCCUGGGUUCGAAGGAAGUGCUUUACUUUAGAAAUGAUUCACUACCCCUGGGCCACCGACGGCUUUGAAAGCCACACGAGACAAGUUCCAUUUCAAACCCCCCGAUUUAUAAUCAUGGGGGAAAGCUGGCUGUUGUCUUGAGGGUUGUCCACGAUCUCACAAACCCAACCUUUGUUCCUCAUGUGCCCAUUUUUCAAAAACUUACUACUCAAAUCUCUGAAAGUCAUCGCCCCCGAGGAAACGUUUAUCUUUGGUUGGACAUCUUUUGCGCUGUAUCCCUUUUCAACUGUCCUUUCUAAUAUAGGAUAAAUGGCUCUGCGGGGUUUGGAGUGAAGAGUUACGUCUUGCAGCAUGUUUGUGAGUGUGUAGAAACCCUACUCCCCUCCCCUCUGCCCCUGGGCCAGAGAUGGGGGAAUAACCAGUUAAGACAAAUGGGUUUGGGCGAUGUUGUGGGUUGAACUGUGUCCCUCAAAAUUCAUGUUGAAGUCCUCACUCCCAGAACGUCAGAAUGUGGUCUUAUUUGGAGAUCGGGCUGUUGCAGAUGUAAUUAGUUAAGAUGAGGUCAUACUGGAGUAGGGUGAGCCUCUAAUCCGUUAUAACUGGUGUCUUUAUAAAAAGGGAAACUUUGGAGACAGACAUGGAUGGAGGGACAUUGCCAUGUGAAGAUGAAGGCAGAGAUCUACAAGUCAAGGAAUGCCUAAGACUGCCAGCAAGACGUCAGAAGCUAGGAGAGAGGCAUGGACACUUUCCCUCACCGCCCCCAGAAGGAACCAACCCUGCCGGUGGCCCCUUGAUUUCAAACUUCCAGCCUCCAGAACUGGGAGAUAAUGAAUCUCUGCUGUUUAAGUCACCCCAUUCGUGGCUGUUUGUUAUGGCAGCCACAUGGAAACGGAGGUGUUUACGAUGUUCGUCUAAAGUGAAUGGGGGAGGAGCAGAGCCCAGUGUGCAAACUCUGAGGUCACACAGCUGGGUUCAGAUCCUGAAUUCUGCCUUUCGCCAGCUAUGUGUAAAUUGGUGACAAUUGCUUCCCUUCUCCAAGCCUUCUUUGCGAUGUCAACAGACAGAGGGUAACAUGGGGUCUGACGUAUUGUGGGGAUUAAGUGAGAUAUUGAAUAUACAGUGUUGAGUAUGUUGUAAACGCUCAGGAAAUGGUAGUUUUUGUCAGCUUCAUUAUUAGAUGCAAGUUUCUCUCUUCAUAUCCAGUCUUGUGUCUUCCAGGUCAGGCCCACAAACCCUGAUCUGCAACCCUUGGAGCCCUGUGUCUUUUGGAAUUCAGAAGACCAUGGAAAUGAGAAAGGCAACCCACUUUUUAGACGGAAACCAUCUGCAGAAGCUCUGGAAAAAUUUCAUCCGGUGACGCUCUCUGGCUCCCUCAGGUAUGACCACCAGAUGGCGCUGGCUCUGAACGGAUCAGAAUAUCCCGCCUGUGGUGCCAGCUGCAGAAAUAAAUGGUCUAUGUGCCAGGCCCUGGGCCCCCGCGUCCCCAUCACUCUGAUCUAAGGCUGGAGAUGGAUUGAUUUCGUCUUCAGCGACACCUGCAGAGGGCGAAAGCCACGCCGGCAUUCUGACAUGGAGCAAAUCUCUCCUCUGUACCCCCAUCGUACCUCCCUAACUCUCAUGGACUGAGCAAGUCCUGACUUGUGUGUUAGUUCUGUUUAUGUCCGUCUUCUCCUCUCCCAACCUCCUGUCCCUAUUACAUUGUGAGAUGCCUGCAGGAAGAGACUGAAUGCCCUAACCCA
rnacentral:lncRNA from 1 species